rnacentral:rRNA from 1 species
UACAGAGGGUGCGAGCGUUAAUCGGAAUUACUGGGCGUAAAGCGUGCGUAGGCGGCUAUCUAAGUCGGGUGUGAAAGCCCCGGGCUCAACCUGGGAAUUGCAUUCGAGACUGAAUAGCUAGGGUACGGUAGAGGGAAGCGGAAUUUCCGGUGUAGCGGUGAAAUGCGUAGAUAUCGGAAGGAACAUCAGUGGCGAAAGCGACUUCCUGGACCAAUACUGACGCUCAGGUGCGAAAGCGUGGGGAGCAAACAGG